AUCAAGCUGAAGAGUCACAAAUAGGACGAAAUGUGCGUCAAACUGGAU
rfam:Schistosoma mattheei strain Denwood, Zambia genome assembly, scaffold: SMTD_scaffold0001624